rnacentral:rRNA from 1 species
AGGAUGAACGCUGGCGGCGUGCCUAAUACAUGCAAGUCGAGCGGUAAGGCCCCUUCGGGGGUACACGAGCGGCGGACGGCUGAGUAACACGUAGGAACGUACCCCAAACUGAGGGAUAAGCACCAGAAAUGGUGUCUAAUACCGCAUGUGGUCUUCGGAUUAAAGCUUCGGCGGUUUGGGAACGGCCUGCGCAUGAUUAGCUUGUUGGUGAGGUAAAAGCUUACCAAGGCGACGAUCAUUAGCUGGUCUGAGAGGAUGAUCAGCCAGACUGGGACUGAGAACGGCCCAGACUCCUACGGGAGGCAGCAGUAGGGAAUUUUCCACAAUGGGCGAAAGCCUGAUGGAGCAACGCCGCGUGCAGGACGAAGGCCUUCGGGUUGUAAACUGCUUUUAUAUGUGAAGAUUAUGACGGUAGCGAUAUGAAUAAGGAUCGGCUAACUCCGCGCCAGCGACGCCGGUACGUACUCGAGUAGUCGGCGGACGGGAGGGACGGACGACGUACG